GGCGCUAUAGCCAAGUGGUUACGGCGACAGAUUCGAAUGCGUGGUCAAAAAAUAAUCGAUCUGUUCCUCUUUGAGGGCGCAGGUUCAAAUCCUGCUGGCGUCG